rnacentral:rRNA from 1 species
UACGGAAGGCAGCAGUGGGGAAUAUUGCACAAUGGGCGCAAGCCUGAUGCAGCCAUGCCGCGUGUAUGAAGAAGGCCUUCGGGUUGUAAAGUAUUUUCAGUCGUGAGGAAGGUGUUAAGGUUAAUAACCUUAGCAAUUGACGUUAGCGACAGAAGAAGCACCGGCUAACUCCGUGCCAGCAGCCGCGGUAAUACGGAGGGUGCGAGCGUUAAUCGGAAUUACUGGGCGUAAAGGGCACGCAGGCGGUUAAUUAAGUUGGAUGUGAAAUCCCCGGGCUUAACCUGGGAAUGGCAUUCAAGACUGGUUAGCUAGAGUCUUGUAGAGGGGGUAGAAUUCCAUGUGUAGCGGUGAAAUGCGUAGAGAUGUGGAGGAAUACCGGUGGCGAAGGCGGCCCCUGGACAAAGACUGACGCUCAUGUGCGAAAGCGUGGGGAGCAAACAGGGAUUAGAUACC